rnacentral:tRNA from 1 species
AUGGGGUUAUGGCUCAAUGGUAGAGUGCUUGCCUGGCAUAUGUGAGGCCCUGAGUUCAAUCCUCAGCACCGCAUA